rnacentral:lncRNA from 1 species
CUGGGCGGCUUACACGGCAGAUGUUUAUUUCUCACAGCUCAGGUGCUGGCAGAUGGCGUUUCUGGAGAGGGACGCUCCCUGGCUCAGAGACGCCGCCCUUCUCUGUGUCUGUGCACCGAGAGAGAGCUCUUUGUUUGCCUCCUCUUAGGAGGGACCAAUCCCUUUAUGGAGAGCCUACCCGCACGACCUCCUCUAAACCCGAUUGCUUCCCAGUGGCCGGACCUCCAAGUGCCAUCACACUAGGGGUGAGGGCUUCAACAGGAAUUUCAGGGGGACACAUAUUCAGCCCAUAACGAUACCCUGUGCAGCCAGGAUGUUAACUAAGGCCUUUUACAAAUGGCACCAAUGAAACUUCCCUGGAAGGGGUGUAGGUGGGCACAGGAAGCCACCCUGGAUAUAAGAGCUGUAGUAAGGGGACUAAAUUAUAGACAGCAAUUUUUUUUCUUUUUUGGCCCAUCUACGCCAAUGAGGUUUAGGCCUCAGAGCCCGCAUCCUGUGGGAGGGGCCGUGAAGUGGCCUGGCUGCCUGUGCCCAUCCUCAGAGCUGCUGGAGUGACUGUCCUCUAGGGGCAGAGAAGGUUGUGAUACUCCAGGAGAGAAGGUGGCUUGGAGGCUGGGAAGGGGAGAGUCCUGCAAGAUUCAGGAUCAGGAGGCCGCAGCUGGGUGCCGCCCCCCCCACUCCCCUCCAUCAGCAGCAGUAGGAACACAACCGACAGCUUCCGCUUUCAGGAAAUCUGUAAUCUCUCAAGUGAGAUGAACAGAUUUCAAUGGAUGUGUCAGGUGUUGGCUAGAGAUAAAAUUUCUGGAGUUGGCAGCACAGAGAUGGCCUUCAUGGCCAUAGAAGUGGAUGAGAUCACUGAAAAGAGUUCAUGGCAAGAGCAGAGGAGCUUCGAGAGAGCCCUGAGGAAUGGGACUAACAGGGGAGGCCAACAUGCCGCUCCCCCAACUGUGUCCCAUUGCUUCUUGGUCGGCAAGAGGCCAAAGCGAAAGGAACUGUGACAGCACUUGUCACCUUAUACACAGUUAAGUGUCUGUUUAUUUGUCUAAAUUGCCUGAUACACUAUGUUCUUCAAGGGUGUAGGGUGGCAUCAUACCUCAUUAAUCCUGAAAACAUCAACACCCAGCGAACUGGGCACCUAAGAUAAACCAUGCACUCUGCCUAGAGCUUUACAUUCGCCAUAUCAUUUAAUGCUCCAAAAUGACAUUAUCUUCAUUCUACAGAAGAGGAAACUUGACCUCAGAGAAGAUCAAUUAUUUGUCCAAGCUCACAUAACCAGUAAAUGGCAAAGUCAUGUCUAGAAUCAAAAUCUAUCGGACUAACAAAUACGACCAUCAAAGUCUAGUGGAAGAGGAAUUCUCGACAAUACCCUGGGAUAAGUAUCUUUUGGUGUCUCUUGUUGUGCAGAAAUUUUGCAUUUGAUAGUGUCC